rnacentral:rRNA from 1 species
GAUGAACGCUGGCGGCAUGCCUAAUACAUGCAAGUCGAGCGAACAGAUGAAGUGCUUGCACUUCUGACGUUAGCGGCGAACGGGUGAGUAACACGUAAGGAAUCUACCUAUAUGCGGGGGAUAACAUUCGGAAACGGGUGCUAAUACCGCAUAAUAUCUUCUUCCGCAUGGAAGAAGAUUGAAAGACGGCUCUGCUGUCACUUAUAGAUGACCUUGCGGUGCAUUAGUUAGUUGGUGGGGUAACGGCCUACCAAGACGAUGAUGCAUAGCCGACAUGAGAGGGUGAUCGGACACAUUGGGACUGAGACACGGCCCAAACUCCUACGGGAGGCAGCAGUAGGGAAUCUUCCGCAAUGGGCGAAAGCCUGACGGAGCAAUGCCGCGUGAGUGAAGAAGGCCUUCGGGUCGUAAAACUCUGUUAUAAGAGAAGAACAAAUUGUAGAGUAACUGCUACAGUCUUGACGGUAUCUUAUCAGAAAGCCACGGCUAACUACGUGCCAGCAGCCGCGGUAA